UAAGCGAAAGAGUCAACCAGCUAACUGAUACCAGAGUACCGCAGGGCACGUGAAACCCGGCGGGAAGCAGGGAGGACCACCUUCCAAGCCUAAAUACGAUAUGGUGACCGAUAGCGCAUAGUACCGUGAGGGAAAGGUGAAAAGAACCCCGGGAGGGGAGUGAAAGAGAACCUGAAACCCUGUGUUUACAAGCAGAGAAAGUACAUGUUAUGUACGAUCUCGUACUUUUUGUAGAACGGACCGGCGAGUUACGUUAUGCAGCGAGGUUAAGGACUGAAGGUCCGGAGCCGAAGCGAAAGCGAGUUUGAAUAGGGCGAUAGUUGCAUGACGUAGACCCGAAACCGGGUGACCUAUCCAUGGCCAGGUUGAAGUGGGAGUAAAAUCCCAUGGAGGACCGAACCAGACGUCUGUUGAAAAAGGCGGGGAUGAGCUGUGGAUAGGGGAGAAAUUCCAAUCGAACCCGGAGAUAGCUGGUUCUCCUCGAAAUAGCUUUAGGGCUAGCCUCAUGGAUAAUUGAUGGGGGUAGAGCACUGAAUGGGCGCGGGGGACUCAAAUCCUACCAAACUCUAUCAAACUGCGAAUACCAUACAAUGCAAACCAUGGGAGUCAGUCCGCGAGAGAUAAGUUCCGCGGGCAAAAGGGGAACACCCCAGAUCAACCGCUAAGGUCCCAAAGUACACGUUAAGUGGAGAAGGAUGUGGAAUUGCACAGACAACCAGGAUGUUGGCUCAGAAGCAGCCACACAUUUAAAGAGUGCGUAAUAGCUCACUGGUCGAGUGGUUGUGCGCCGAAAAUGUCCGGGGCUAAAACGUGACACCGAAGCGAUGGAUGCGCGAAUGCGCGUGGUAGAGGAGCGUUCUGUACGGGCUGAAGCUGUAUUGUGAAGCACAGUGGACUGUACAGAAGAGAGAAUGCCGGUAUGAGUAGCGAGAGCGAAGCGAGAAACUUCGCCGUCGAAAGCCCAAGGUUUCCUGGGGAAGGUUCAUCCACCCAGGGUAAGUCGGGGCCUAAGCCGAGGACGGAAGUCGUAGGCGAUGGACAGCAGGUGUAUAUUCCUGCACUACCGAAGAAUGAAGCAGUGACACAGAAGGAUAGUCUGAGCGGGGUGAUGGUCAACUCCGUACAAGCA
rnacentral:ncRNA from 1 species